GAUGAACGCUGGCGGCGUGCUUAACACAUGCAAGUCGAACGAGAAGUGAAGACGGAAACCUUCGGGCGGAAGGCUUUAUUUUGAGUGGCGGACGGGUGAGUAACGCGUGGGUAACCUGCCUCAUACAGGGGGAUAACAGUUGGAAACGACUGUUAAUACCGCAUAAGACCACAGCACCGCAUGGUGCGGGGGUAAAAACUCCGGUGGUAUGAGAUGGACCCGCGUUCGAUUAGCCAGUUGGCGGGGUAACGGCCCACCAAAGCGACGAUCGAUAGCCGAUCUGAGAGGAUGACCGGCCACAUUGGGACUAGGACACGGCCCGAACUCCUACGGGAGGCAGCAGUGGGGAAUAUUGCACAAUGGGGGAAACCCUGAUGCAGCGACGCCGCGUGAGUGAAGAAGUAUUUCGGUAUGUAAAGCUCUAUCAGCAGGGAAGAAAAUGACGGUACCUGAGGAAGAAGCCCCGGCUAACUACGUG
rnacentral:rRNA from 1 species